AGCAGCAUGGCUUAGUGGAAAGAGCACGGGCUUGGGAGCCAGAGGUCAGGGGUUCUAAUCCCUACUCUGCCA
rnacentral:tRNA from 1 species